UACGUAGGUGGCAAGCGUUGUCCGGAUUUACUGGGCGUAAAGGGCGCGUAGGCGGCGCGGUAAGUCACUUGUGAAAUCUCUGAGCUUAACUCAGAACGGCCAAGUGAUACUGCAGUGCUAGAGUGUGGAAGGGGCAAUCGGAAUUCUUGGUGUAGCGGUGAAAUGCGUAGAUAUCAAGAGGAACACCUGAGGUGAAGACGGGUUGCUGGGCUGACACUGACGCUGAGGCGCGAAAGCCAGGGGAGCAAACGGG
rnacentral:rRNA from 1 species